rnacentral:lncRNA from 1 species
AAAUCUCUGAGCAUACUGGUUGGUUCAGGAUAAGAACCUGAAGCUGGAGUACCUGGACACCCUGACCAAGCUAACAAACAUCCUGAGCAGCCACCCCAUGGCCUUUCAACUCAAGUUCCCUCAGAAACUAGAAAUUGUAACCUUCCUGGUGGUAAGUACAACUCGGGAGGAUGGAGGUGGAAAUGCACAGAGGAGGGAGGACGGGUCUUCAUGGAACCAUUGGCAGUGCUCCUGGGCUUGGCCUGGAGGAUAAAAGUCCAGAUUUUCCAGGGUCCUUUUCCAACCUUUUCCUUUUUCCAUCCUCAAGGUGGGGGUGAGUACUGUGGGGAAGGUAUGCUUGGGAGUAGAACAGAAGUGCUGUCCUUGAGAGUUUUUGGAAAUUCUAGGUUCUGGUUUCUUAUGAAUACAGCCUGGGGUAGGAGGAGGGGGAGGAAGACAAAAAAAAAAAUAUGUUCACAUCCUCUUUGUCUCUGGGGUGUGUGGGGGGGUGCAUUACAGGAGUUAAUCAGGGAGGAGCCACUGAGUUCCGUCUCCAGCUCCAUUAGGCGGAGGGCAGUGAACAUCAUCACUGACUUCAGGAAGCUCUAUCCCCUCAUAGAGGUAGAAGAAAGAACAGAGCUACUCCGAACGUGCUAUAAGAGUGUGCUCUGCCUGCCACCUACAGAAAUUUUGCAGAAGGAGGCAUCCAGUUCCCAGGAGGCCCACACCACUGUGGUAAAAAACUCUUUGAUGUUUGUCUCUUUGUAUUCAGUUUUUACUUUUGAGAGGAUGAGAAGUAUAGGUUUGGC